UUCGACUCUUUCAGCUGACCAGUUACUGUGUACCUCUUCCAUUCGGUUCCUCUGUCGACAUUAAUCCUUACAUAGUUCAUACAUUCGGCUCAUCCAGCCGAACCGAUUCUACAGUAAAGGCUUUCAAACUCGGCUGAUCUGAUCCCUUGUCAGCCGAAUCGUUUGAUCCAGUCGAAGGGCGCAAACUUCGAGGGUCACUAUCCGCAGCCGUUCCUCACACCG
rnacentral:lncRNA from 1 species